UACGAAGGGGGCUAGCGUUGCUCGGAAUUACUGGGCGUAAAGCGCACGUAGGCGGAUUGUUAAGUCGGGGGUGAAAUCCUGGAGCUCAACUCCAGAACUGCCUUCGAUACUGGCGAUCUCGAGUUCGGGAGAGGUGAGUGGAACUGCGAGUGUAGAGGUGAAAUUCGUAGAUAUUCGCAAGAACACCAGUGGCGAAGGCGGCUCACUGGCCCGAUACUGACGCUGAGGAGCGAAAGCGUGGGGAGCAAACAGG
rnacentral:rRNA from 1 species